rnacentral:lncRNA from 1 species
GCACUUACUGGGAAUUCCUCAUUCAUGGGGAAAAAUUGCAAUCCCUGAUCACCAUCGCCAAUGAGGUUCAACAGGUUACCCACAUCUGCCACAUAGGGUAGGCACACGCUGAGCCAGUCAGUGUAGCGCGCGUGCAGCCCUGGACAUUUAAGGGCAUCACAGACCUGUUAUUGCUCAAUCUCAGGUGGCUGAACGCCACUUGUCCCUCUAAGAAGUUGGGGGAUGCCGACCGCUCCAGGGUCACAUAACUAGUUGGCAUGCCAGAGUCUCGUUCGUUAUUGGAAUUAGCCAGACAAAUCACUCCAGCAACUAAGGCCAUGCACCACCACCCGUGGAAUCGAGAAAGAGCUAUCAAUCUGUCAAUCCUGUCCGUGUCCAGGCUGGGUGAGUUUUCCCAUGUUGAGUCAAAUUAAGCUGCAGGCUCCACUCCUGGUGGUGCCCUUCUGUCAAUUCCUUUAAGUUUCAGCUUUGCAACCAUACUCCCCUCGGAACCCAAAAACCCAAAGACUGGUUUCUUGGAAGCUGCCCAGCGGGUCAUGGGAAUAACACCGCCACAUCGCCAGUUGGCAUCGUUUAUGGUCGGAAUUACAACGGUAUCUGAUCGUCUUCGAACCUCCGACUUUCGUUCUUGAUUAAUGAAAACAUUCUUGGCAAAUGCUUUCGCUCUGUUCCGAAAACCAACAAAAUAGAACUGUGGUCCUAUUCCAUUAUUCCAAGCUGCAGUAUCCAGGCGGCUUGGGCCUGCUUUGAACACUCUAAUUUUUUCAAAGUAAGUGCUUCGGGCCACAGGACACUCAGCUAAGAGCAUCCAGGGGGCACCGAGAGGCAAGAAGCAGGGACGGGCUGUGGCUCGCUAGCCCACCCGCUCCCAAGAUUCAACUACGAGCUUUUUAACUGCAACAACUUUAAUAUACGCUAUUGGAGCUGGAAUUACCACGGCUGCUGGCACCAGACUUGCCCUCCAAUUGAUCCUCAUUAAAAGAUUUAAAGUGCACUCAUUCCAAUUACAGGGCCUAGAAAGAGUCCUGUAUUGUUAUUUUUCGUCACUACCUCCCCCCCAACCG